rnacentral:rRNA from 1 species
GCUGGCGGCAGGCCUANCNCAUGCAAGUCGAGCGAGAUCUUCGGAUCUAGCGGCGGACGGGUGAGUAACGCGUGGGAAUAUGCCCUUCUCUACGGAAUAGCCUCGGGAAACUGGGAGUAAUACCGUAUACGCCCUUCGGGGGAAAGAUUUAUCGGAGAAGGAUUAGCCCGCGUUGGAUUAGGUAGUUGGUGGGGUAAUGGCCUACCAAGCCGACGAUCCAUAGCUGGUUUGAGAGGAUGAUCAGCCACACUGGGACUGAGACACGGCCCAGACUCCUACGGGAGGCAGCAGUGGGGAAUCUUAGACAAUGGGGGAAACCCUGAUCUAGCCAUGCCGCGUGAGCGAUGAAGGCCUUAGGGUUGUAAAGCUCUUUCAGCUGGGAAGAUAAUGACGGUACCAGCAGAAGAAGCCCCGGCUAACUCCGUGCCAGCAGCCGCGGUAAUACGGANGGGGCUAGCGUUGUUCGGAAUUACUGGGCGUAAAGCNNGCGUAGGCGGACCAUCAAGUUGGGGGUGAAAUCCCGGGGCUCAACCUCNAACUGCCUCCNAAACUGCUGGGUCUUGAGUNNANNAAGGNANNNGNAAUNCCAAGUGUNAGUGAAAUNCGU